AUAGGGGUGGCAUACAUCUGGAUGAAGUUACAUGGACUUUGAGGUGUUUUAAAGUAGAUGAAUCUUAAGCAAAGUCUUAGUACGUCUGUUUUGUUUCAAAUCAGCAUAUGCCUUGACUUUCUCAUUUUGUUAGGCUUCCAUUUCUUUAUCUUCGAACUUAGUACUUGCAAGGCUCCUAAUUUCUUUAAGAUUGCUGUAUAAUACCAUUCACUUCAUUCUUGUUUUGGUUUGCCUUUGAAAUAGCUUUAAGAACAAAAUACCUCUAUAGCUGUUAUUUUUCUGACUUUUAAACCUUUAUUGGUAGGGCCAUUCUUUUUUCUAAUUCUUGCUUCUCAUUUUCUUCCAGGACUAUGAUUCCUUCAGCCUUCUUUAGUUCCUUUCUUUCUAGUAAAUUCCAUUAACAUUGGGCAUCAAGUACAGCCAUUUAAGGCCUUUUAUGUUUUUCUUGACCCCAGGUUUUUGGAAUCUGAAUGUUGAUUUAUCACUAUGACAAUGAUUGGUAAUUGUAAUUUCUAACAUUGAUUACUCACUAUGGUAUGUGCCAGGCACUAUGCUAAUUGGUUUAUAUAAAAUAACCUAAGCUUUAGAACAACUUUCUGUGGUAGGUGUUACCAAAUUAUUAUCAUCCAGUUUUCUAGUGAAAGAAAUGGGAGUUUCAGAGGGAUUAAUGUUAUCCAGGUUACACUGAUAAUAAGUGGCAGAGCCAGGAUUUGAAUCCAUGUAUUUGACUACGAAGCAUAUACUUUUUACCCCCAUCUCAAGCUUUCUGUCUAGCACUUGCAUUUUCUUAUUUUUACAGAUUAAAAAAAGUAUGUGGCAGAUGGUUUAGGCUAAAUAUAACCAAAGCUAAAUGCAUCUCCCCCUAAAUUACUUACCACUGUACUUAAUAUUUAUUUAGGAUGUAUUUUGUGUUUAGCACUAGCAAAAGGAAGAAUAAUUUUACUUUUUAAUAAUAUUUGAAAUACUUACUUUGAACUUCAAAUUCAUUCUCCCAUUCUAUUUAUUCUUCCAUGGCAUUGUCUCAAAUGCCUGUCAUUGGCUUCUCUCCUCUACAGUUUGACCCAUCAGUUGGGCUUACAUUUGUUUCCCACAGGUGAUUGUGGUGAGCAUGCACCCACUUUUGCAGCUAUCUAAUAAAAAGAUGGAAAUAGUUGGACAACUCAUAUCAACUAUGAGAAUGACUGGUGAUGACUGAUAGUAAGAGCUGGCUACUCAUGCUAACGUUUGUUGCUAGGUUAACUGUAAAACAGUCUCAUGCAGGUCCUUCAGGAGGUGUUACAGAAGAAGGCGUUGUUAUUGGAGAUGGCAGCCCCAUGCACAUUAUUGCCCCCAAAAGCCCUCCACUGGGACAAGAUGUGGAGGAGGACAAUGAUAUUGAUGAUCCUGACCCCGUAUGAAGAAACUAAUCAAGCUCACAUAGGGAUGAAAGUGCUGAGAUAAGCAGAAGUGUUUUCUUAGAGAAGUAAAGAGGAUAUGGCUUUGGUCGACAUGAGGAAGUCAAUAAACCUAAGAGUAUGAUUAAUUCCCAUACAGAU